UGGACAAUAAUCGAUCUUUUUCUUUGAUAGAGCUUGUGAGGAAAUACGCCGUGCAGUAUCAAUCUUAUCGAGUAUAUGUGGACCUUGCUAUGUCCACUAAAAUUGGUCCAUCAGCAUGGAUUCAAACUGUCAAACGCAUUCUCUAUUUCCGCGAGAAUAAUUAGGUCAAGUUGGUUGCCGUAUCGAUCGUGUGUUCGAUCGCACUUCGUUUCCUGUAAACAUCAGUAGUAACUAGUUUGAGCCAGAACUUUGCGCACAGAAAAUCAACUUGCGUUCACGAAACAGUAUAUAGUAUACUCUGUAACUCGACCCACCCUUACGAAAAAAACAGCUAGUUUUCAGCUUGUCUUAAAAGUUUCAUUUUCGAUCGCUUAACAAGUUUGCAUUCUCACGUCCAACGACCGUUGAAAAUUGUAAUCUAAUUCUUUUAAUGCCAGCCGACUUUGAAGUGCAAGCGACACAACUUCCAAGCGAUAUAAUCCUAUAUAAGUUAAUGUUUUGAUGACUUUCUAAAAUUAUGUCCGCAUAUAGUAGCUCCAGUGAAUCAUCAGUUUAUAAUCAGGGAAUAUGUUUGGGACAAAAUUGGACGGCCUUGUCCGCUAAAGCAAUCCAAGUUCUCUUUGUAUUUUUCGUCAGAACUGCGGGCACGGGAAAGAGAGAGACCUUGUGUAUUUCACGUCGAAUGAAAAACACAAUCAAAUCUGGCGUACCUAAAUCGUUUCCUAUCGGGCGUUCGUAUACUAUAUACCCAUUCGGCUUUCUUUCUGGGAAACAAACCGGUUCGACAUUUUCUCGUAAACAAAAUUGUUAUAUUGCUGCACAUCGCGCAAGGCCAUUUCGAAAUCUGGAAGCCAGCAACCGUCGUAGUUUGUUUGCCACCUUCAAAAUAACUGCUGACAUGUCACGUAAGCGCUUCCUGAACCAGCCCAAUAUAAGCCGACCGUUCGACUUGUUUUUCUUCAUUCGAUAACAAACAUCAACAACACCAACUACAACUCAAGAGUUAUUUCACAGUAUUACCGACAAACAUGACUGGUAAAUUACUGAUUGUCUUCUGUCUUAUGGCGUCGUCAACGCGAUCACAACCUAUGGGUCCGAGAGUCCUGGGAGAUAUUCUCGAAAUGCAAGUUGCUGCUCCGGCGUCCACAGUCCCGGCAGAUACUUACAGAUUCGAAAUUGUUAGAGAGGAACCAAGAGAGGACCCCAUUCAAUUCUUAAAUAUGUGCAACCUUUUCCGAAAGUACUUGUAUGUGCCAUUUGGAACCACUAUUUUUGGCAAUCCUUAGAAAUCGUUGCGUAAGGACGUUUGUGUAAGAUUGAAAGAAAAAAACGACCUCUAGAGAGAGGUUCACACUUUGAUGCUUUUUGAACGGAAGUAUCUUGAUCGGAUGUAGCUCCGCAUGAUGAUGCAAAGCCUUAUCAGCAUCGUCGAUAUUGGGAAAGGGAUCCGAUUUUGGUGUUGGAAAACCUUAAUUUAACUUGGAGUUUUGUGCAGUUGAAUCAAUUCCUGUACAAAAUGUACCAUUUACUCUCAUGAUACUGUCUUUUGUUGUUCACCGGCUUUCCACUUGUUUUUCUAAUUUUUUCUAUGUUUGAUUUGGAACCGGCGAUACCAAUAAAUGUGUCAAACAUA
rnacentral:lncRNA from 1 species